rnacentral:rRNA from 1 species
GACGAACGCUGGCGGCGUGCUUAACACAUGCAAGUCGAACGAGAAUCUACUGAAAGAGUUUUCGGACAAUGGAUGUAGAGGAAAGUGGCGGACGGGUGAGUAACGCGUGAGGAACCUGCCUUGAAGAGGGGGACAACAGUUGGAAACGACUGCUAAUACCGCAUGAUGCAUAGGGAUCGCAUGAUUCUUAUGCCAAAGAUUUAUCGCUUCAAGAUGGCCUCGCGUCUGAUUAGCUAGUUGGCGGGGUAACGGCCCACCAAGGCGACGAUCAGUAGCCGGACUGAGAGGUUGAACGGCCACAUUGGGACUGAGACACGGCCCAGACUCCUACGGGAGGCAGCAGUGGGGGAUAUUGGACAAUGGGGGCAACCCUGAUGCAGCGAUGCCGCGUGAGGGAAGAAGGGUCUUCGGAUUGUAAACUCCUGUUGUUGAGGAAGAUAAUGACGGUACUCAACAAGGAAGUGACGGCUAACUACGUGCCAG